rnacentral:rRNA from 1 species
GAUGAACGCUGGCGGCGUGCUUAACACAUGCAAGUCGAACGAAGCACUUUAUUUGAUUUCCUUCGGGACUGAUUAUUUUGUGACUGAGUGGCGGACGGGUGAGUAACGCGAGGGUAACAUGCCUUGUACAGGGGGGUAACAGUUGGAAACGGCUGCUAAUACCGCAUAAGCGCACGGCAUCGCAUGAUGCAGUGUGAAAAACUCCGGUGGUAUAAGAUGGACGCGCGUUGGAUUAGCUAGUUGGUGAGGUAACGGCCAACCAAGGCGACGAUCCAUAGCCGACCGGGGAGGGGGACCGGCUAGAUUGGGACUGAGACACGGCCCCAACUCCGAGGGGAGGGAGCAGUAGGGAAUAUUGUAGAAGGGGCGAAAGUGUGAUGCAGCGACGUGGGGGGAGAGAAGAAGCAUUUCGGUAUGUAAAGCUCUAUCAGCAGGGAAGCUAAUGACGGUACCUGACUAAGAAGCACCGGCUAACUACGUG